rnacentral:rRNA from 1 species
UAGGGAAUCUUCCGCAAUGGACGAAAGUCUGACGGAGCAACGCCGCGUGAGUGAAGAAGGAUUUCGGUUCGUAAAACUCUGUUGUUAGGGAAGAAAAAAUGUAUAGUAACUAUAUACAAAAGAGACGGUACCUAACCAGAAAGCCACGGCUAACUACGUGCCAGCAGCCGCGGUAAUACGUAGGUGGCAAGCGUUGUCCGGAAUUAUUGGGCGUAAAGCGCGCGCAGGUGGUUUAGAAAGUCUGAUGUGAAAGCCCACGGCUCAACCGUGGAGGGUCAUUGGAAACUAAUAAACUUGAGUGCAGGAGAGAAAAGUGGAAUUCCUAGUGUAGCGGUGAAAUGCGUAGAGAUUAGGAGGAACACCGGUGGCGAAAGCGGCUUUUUGGCCUGCAACUGACACUGAAGCGCGAAAGCGUGGGGAGCAAACAGG